rnacentral:rRNA from 1 species
CCUACGUGUGGCAGCAGUGAGGAAUAUUGGUCAAUGGGCGCGAGCCUGAACCAGCCAAGUAGCGUGAAGGAUGACUGCCCUACGGGUUGUAAACUUCUUUUAUAAAGGAAUAAAGUGAGGCCCGUGUGCCUUUUUGUAUGUACUUUAUGAAUAAGGAUCGGCUAACUCCGUGCCACCAGCCGCGGUAAUACGGAGGAUCCGAGCGUUAUCCGGAUUUAUUGGGUUUAAAGGGAGCGUAGAUGGGUUGUUAAGUCAGUUGUGAAAGUUUGCGGCUCAACCGUAAAAUUGCAAUUGCUACUGGUAGGCUUGAGUACAGUUGAGGUAGGCGGAAUUCGUGGUGUAGCGGUGAAAUGCUUAGAUAUCACGAAGAACUCCGAUUGCGAAGGCAGCUUACUAAACUGCAACUGACAUUGAUGCUCGAAAGUGUGGGUAUCAAACAGGAUGAGAUACCCGGGUAGUC